UGGCGAAUGAACAGGGAUAAGCUCAGCAUGGAAAUUGGGGCCUCCGGCCUUGAAUUGUAGUCUUGAGAUGUGUUACCAACGGAGGCGCAGAUGUAAGCCUCUUGGAAAAGAGCGUCAGGGAGGGUGAGAGUCCCGUAUGUCAUCUGCAGUUCUCUGUGCACGGUACAUUUUCUAAGAGUCACGUUCCUCGGGAUUGGAGCGCAAAUUGGGUGGUAAAUUUCAUCUAAAGCUAAAUAUUGGUUCGAGACCGAUAGCAAACAAGUACCAUGAGGGAAAGGUGAAAAGGACUUUGAAAAGAGAGUUAAAAGUGCCUGAAAUUGCUGAAAGGGAAGCGAAUGGAACCAGUUGUUCUUGGCGAGUAUUGGUGUUGUCUAAGGUGAUAGCUUGCCACUUCAACGCAAGUGUGGUGGCAGGUUUUGAUCUGGAUGCGAUACUGCUUCUCGCCUUGCGUGUCAACGUCAGUUCAUAAUUGAGGAAAACUCUAGGGACAUGGUAAUUUGCUUCCGGGCGACUGAAUGUCCCCAGUUGAACUCAUUUUUGAACUGCUCACUGUGUGUCUGGUCGCACUGCUCCGUGUGCUUGCUUGCAAUCUUCUGCUUGGCAUGAAGGUUGCUAGUGCCAGGAGCAUGUCCUUGACAUAAGAACGAUGACGAAAUGGUUUUAUUCGACCCGUCUUGAAACACGG
rnacentral:rRNA from 1 species